rnacentral:rRNA from 1 species
ACACAAUUGGCAAGGUCGAGCGGUAACAGAGCUGUGCUUGCUCCCCGCUGACGAGCGGCGGACGGGUGAGUAAUGCAUAGGAAUCUGCCCGAUAGUGGGGGAUAACCUGGGGAAACCCAGGCUAAUACCGCAUACGUCCUACGGGAGAAAGGGGGCUCCGGCUCCCGCUAUCGGAUGAGCCUAUGUCGGAUUAGCUGGUUGGUGAGGUAAAGGCUCACCAAGGCGACGAUCCGUAGCUGGUCUGAGAGGAUGAUCAGCCACAUCGGGACUGAGACACGGCCCGAACUCCUACGGGAGGCAGCAGUGGGGAAUAUUGGACAAUGGGGGCAACCCUGAUCCAGCCAUGCCGCGUGUGUGAAGAAGGCCCUCGGGUUGUAAAGCACUUUCAGUGAGGAAGAACGCCUGGUGGUUAAUACCCAUCAGGAAAGACAUCACUCACAGAAGAAGCACCGGCUAACUCCGUGCCAGCAGCCGCGGUAAUACGGAGGGUGCGAGCGUUAAUCGGAAUUACUGGGCGUAAAGCGCGCGUAGGUGGCUUGAUAAGCCGGUUGUGAAAGCCCCGGGCUCAACCUGGGAACGGCAUCCGGAACUGUCAAGCUAGAGUGCAGGAGAGGAAGGUAGAAUUCCCGGUGUAGCGGUGAAAUGCGUAGAGAUCGGGAGGAAUACCAGUGGCGAAGGCGGCCUUCUGGACUGACACUGACACUGAGGUGCGAAAGCGUGGGUAGCAAACAGGAUUAGAUACCCUGGUAGUCCACGCCGUAAACGAUGUCGACCAGCCGUUGGGUGCCUAGCGCACUUUGUGGCGAAGUUAACGCGAUAAGUCGACCGCCUGGGGAGUACGGCCGCAAGGUUAAAACUCAAAUGAAUUGACGGGGGCCCGCACAAGCGGUGGAGCAUGUGGUUUAAUUCGAUGCAACGCGAAGAACCUUACCUACUCUUGACAUCCUGCGAACUUGUGAGAGAUCACUUGGUGCCUUCGGGAACGCAGAGACAGGUGCUGC